ACAUGCAUUAAACCUAUUCUACAACACACAUACACAAGCAUACAUGUUCCUAGGGGCCUCAAACCAUCAUAAACCCCAUCUACAACACAUCAAGCAUCCACAUUGUUCAAGAACAUACAUUUAUACCCAUAAACAUAACCAUAAACUAAACAUGCAUUCUACCCCCAUAGAUCUACUUAAAACUUACUUUAAACAUGCAAUGAGCUUAAGAUCGGCUCUUACCUCUUGAAGAUCG
rnacentral:lncRNA from 1 species